rnacentral:lncRNA from 1 species
AAAAAUUGGAAGUUCGAGUUCAAAAUCAGAAUCAGUUUUGAAGAAGCAGCUUUUUUCUGCUUCUGAUUCUGAGGCCUUCAAAAUCAGUUUUCUGAUUCUAAAAUGCAGAAUCAGAUUUUCAGAAUGUCAUUCCCAAACGCUCUACUGAGCUCAAAAGUGAUUUUGAGCUCAGAAUCACUUUUGAAUAGCUAGGCCAAACACCCCCCGAGACUUCCUACCCAACGACAGU